UGUGCGCCUGGGACUGCUGCU
rnacentral:misc_RNA from 1 species